AACGAACGCUGGCGGCAUGCCUAACACAUGCAAGUCGAACGAGACCUUCGGGUCUAGUGGCGCACGGGUGCGUAACGCGUGGGAACCUGCCCUUAGGUUCGGAAUAACUCACCGAAAGGGGUGCUAAUACCGGAUAAUGUCUUCGGACCAAAGAUUUAUCGCCUUUGGAUGGGCCCGCGUUGGAUUAGCUAGUUGGUAGGGUAAAAGCCUACCAAGGCGACGAUCCAUAGCUGGUCUGAGAGGAUGAUCAGCCACACUGGGACUGAGACACGGCCCAGACUCCUACGGGAGGCAGCAGUGGGGAAUAUUGGACAAUGGGCGAAAGCCUGAUCCAGCAAUGCCGCGUGAGUGAUGAAGGCCUUAGGGUUGUAAAGCUCUUUUACCCGGGAUGAUAAUGACGGUACCGGGAGAAGAAGCUCCGGCUAACUCCGUG
rnacentral:rRNA from 1 species